CUCUGCCUGGGGGGUUAGUCGUGGAGAGCAUUAAUCAUGCAUAAGAAACCAGCCAUUUUCUCCCUCCUCUCCACCAAGCUUGAGUGAAGUUUUAAAAGGUCUGAUGUUGGCUUCCCCCACCCACACUGGUCUUAUUCUUCUUAUUCUCGUCCCACCCUGAGGCAGAGAACAGGUAUAUAACGUUUGAUUGUUUGCAAAGCCAAUCCAUGUGCAUUUUUAAAAGUGUGAUGGCAUGGAGGAGCCUGGGAGCAUGGGGAUCCAGAAAACACAAGGUUAUGUAUGAGUUUCUGGCUGGUAUUUCAGAAACCAAAUGAUGCUUUCCAUGACACCAAGCUGCUCUCCAA
rnacentral:lncRNA from 1 species